CCCAAGUACAGAAAAGGACCUCUCCACUUGCCCUACCGAGGACUUGGCUCCCUUGACUGUAUUAGUGCCGGACUGCAACCUUGAACCUGACUCGGAGACAGUGGUGGGGCAACAGGGCCGGAGAUCACUGGAGUCUGGGAAAACUAUCCCACUCUCCUCCAGUGGCAGAGCUGUGGCGACCGACUGUCAGGCGCAGCUAAGGGACAGCCUUCUACGAGGAGGAAAGCAAGAGGCCACAGUGACCAUCAAGAACUAGGAGCAGAAGGCAGUGCAUGGGAGCAGCGUGAUCCAGAAAUGAGCUAGUGAGCGUGGACGGCGGUGACUACGGGUGAAACAGGAAUCAAUGUCAGAGACGGAUGUCUCCCGGGAGAAGGCAGGCUCAAGUAACAUCGCCCUGAAGAGACUGUAGACGGUAAGCUUCACCCAAGGAAUGGAGUCCAGACAGCUCAGGAGGCGACCUCUUUGAGUACUGCUAGAAAGAGAUGGGUGCAGGAGUGACACUAAAGGGACCUCCAACUCAACUCCCCGCCCUGCUGAAGGUGGCUGCAGUGACCCCAGCUACCUGCCAGUAAUGACCUCCUCUCAUGAUCAAAAUUAUUUUCCAUGAUUGGCCACACAAACGGAAGCAGGACGACAUUUAGAAGAAUAAAGGGCUGUCAGGCGAGGCUUGGGUUGUGGGGUGUGACAUUGUGACUGGCAGUUUCGUUA